CUGCAUGAUGGAAGCUGUUGUUCUUCUUUCUUCCAUGGAGAAUGAACAUUCCUUCAAUGCUAUAAAAAUAAUGAGUUGUCAGGGCCGCCAGCCUUGGAGUAGAGGCUGAGUGGUAGUAUGUUUCUCAUACAUUA